AAUAGUUUUAUGCCACAUCAGUAUUCUUAUCCUGAAUUUUAGGAUUUUAUCAUUAAAAAAAUCAAAUCCAAAUUAAAAUACUGAAAUUCAGGAUAAACUUCUGAAAUUCAGGAUAAGAAUAUUGAUGUGACAUAAAACUAUU
rnacentral:pre_miRNA from 1 species